AGCUGAGUGUUGGUGACAGACUGGGAGAGAAGGAGUAAAGCACAGCAUUGUGUUUUACAGCAGCCCAGUGGAACAAAGGGAUCUGUGGUGAAAUUCCUCCUGUGAGCUGCACAACAAAAGCUGCCAUCCCCAUUCCAGGUGCUCCUUCCCACUGGCAAACAGCCUAAGGAGGAGUUGUUUAUAGAUCUCCUUCUGGCAGCUGGAUGAGAAGGGAAUGCCACAGCAAAGGAGGGAUUACCAAGUUGUAUCCAGAGGGAACAGCAGUGCUGUUUGUUACACAUAUCACCACUGCAACAGAACCGUGUCUGGGGAAAUCAAGAACUGAGCAGAUCCUUUUUUAGUCCCACUCAUUUUCAGGGUGGCCCUUCCCAAACAAAGACAAGCAGUCAGGAUACAUUCCUUGAAGAGUUGGGCCUAACAAACAAUAUGGCAGCGCACGGGCGAGAAGAAAUCUUGCAGAAUGCUGCUGCUGCUGCUGCUGAGGUAAUUUGGUUUCUCAUCCAUUCCCCAGUCAGUAUCUCCCUUUUCCUUCUAAUUUCCUAAAAUUAUUUGAAGCACAGAAAUCCUUAAAGAAUUGGGAGUACAGGUCUUUAAACCUAAGCUAGAGUGCAUGUGUGUUUAUAUGUAUAUAUAUAUAUAUUUAUGGGCCUGAUUAGACUGCGGGGAAGAGGUGAGGGGAAAGAAUGGGAAUUAUUUAGCAGUGGUGUUUCUUAUUUGUCUUAUUUUUGUGGCAGAAGUAUGAAAUGGCUGCAAACAGCUUUUUGCUCAGGCACACAAUGCAUUCCAUAAUGAUCGAUUUUCCUGGACAGGGCAUUUAUGCUUUGUGGUUUGCAAGAAUACCACCCACAGACCAGCCCCAGUGUUGGGUCU